rnacentral:tRNA from 1 species
AUUUAAAUAGUUUAAGAUAAAAUAUUGAUUUGUGGUGUCAAUGAUAUGAAAUAUUCAUUUUAGAUC